rnacentral:rRNA from 1 species
GCUCAACCGGGGAGGGUCAUUGGAAACUGGGGAACUUGAGUGCAGAAGAGGAGAGUGGAAUUCCACGUGUAGCGGUGAAAUGCGUAGAGAUGUGGAGGAACACCAGUGGCGAAGGCGACUCUCUGGUCUGUAACUGACGCUGAGGCGCGAAAGCGUGGGGAGCGAACAGGAUUAGAUACCCUGGUAGUCCACGCCGUAAACGAUGAGUGCUAAGUGUUAGAGGGUUUCCGCCCUUUAGUGCUGCAGCAAACGCAUUAAGCACUCCGCCUGGGGAGUACGGUCGCAAGACUGAAACUCAAAGGAAUUGACGGGGGCCCGCACAAGCGGUGGAGCAUGUGGUUUAAUUCGAAGCAACGCGAAGAACCUUACCAGGUCUUGACAUCCUCUGACAACCCUAGAGAUAGGGCUUCCCCUUCGGGGGCAGAGAGACAGGUGGUGCAUGGUUGUCGUCAGCUCGUGUCGUGAGAUGUUGGGUUAAGUCCCGCAACGAGCGCAACCCUUGAUCUUAGUUGCCAGCAUUCAGUUGGGCACUCUAAGGUGACUGCCGGUGACAAACCGGAGGAAGGUGGGGAUGACGUCAAAUCAUCAUGCCCCUUAUGACCUGGGCUACACACGUGCUACAAUGGGCAGAACAAAG